UGACGAUCAAACUCUGAAGUUCGUUUUUAUGUGAUCACGGAGGAAAGCUCGGUAAGGGUGUGCCCUUUGAACGAAGAACGCGGAUUCGUUGCUCACACUUUU